AUUGAACGCUGGCGGCAGGCCUAACACAUGCAAGUCGAACGAGUGGCGGACGGGUGAGUAAUGUCUGGGAAACUGCCUGAUGGAGGGGGAUAACUACUGGAAACGGUAGCUAAUACCGCAUACCAUCGGAUGUGCCCAGAUGGGAUUAGCUAGUAGGUGGGGUAAAGGCUCACCUAGGCGACGAUCCCUAGCUUGUCUGAGAGGAUGACCAGCAACAGUGGCCAUGAGACACGGCCCAGACUAAGAUGGGAGGCAGGAGUGGGGAAUAUUGCACAAUGGGCGCAAUCCUUAUGCAGCCAUGCCGCGUGUAUGAAGAAGUGCUUCUGCUUGUAAAUUACUUUCAGCGGGGAGGAGUUACCCGAAGAAGAAGCACCGGCUAACUCCGUGCCAGCAGCCUCUGUAAUUC
rnacentral:rRNA from 1 species